rnacentral:rRNA from 1 species
CCUACGGGGGGCAGCAGUGGGGAAUAUUGCACAAUGGGGGGAACCCUGAUGCAGCGACGCCGCGUGAAGGAAGAAGUAUUUCGGUAUGUAAACUUCUAUCAGCAGGGAAGAAAAUGACGGUACCUGACUAAGAAGCCCCGGCUAACUACGUGCCAGCAGCCGCGGUAAUACGUAGGGGGCAAGCGUUAUCCGGAUUUACUGGGUGUAAAGGGAGCGUAGGCGGCAGUGCAAGUCAGAAGUGAAAGCCCAAGGCUCAACCAUGGGACUGCUUUUGAAACUGUACAGCUAGAUUGCAGGAGAGGUAAGUGGAAUUCCUAGUGUAGCGGUGAAAUGCGUAGAUAUUAGGAGGAACACCAGUGGCGAAGGCGGCAUGCCGGCUCCACACUGACGCUGAGGCACGAAAGCGUGGGUAUCGAACAGGAUUAGAUACCCGGGUAGUC